rnacentral:rRNA from 1 species
CUACGUGCCAGCAGCCGCGGUAAUACGGAAGGUCCAGGCGUUAUCCGGAUUUAUUGGGUUUAAAGGGAGCGUAGGCGGAUUAUUAAGUCAGUGGUGAAAGACGGUGGCUCAACCAUCGUUAGCCAUUGAAACUGGUAGUCUUGAGUGCAGACAGGGAUGCUGGAACUCGUGGUGUAGCGGUGAAAUGCUUAGAUAUCACGAUGAACUCCGAUCGCGAAGGCAGGUGUCCGGGCUGCAACUGACGCUGAGGCUCGAAAGUGUGGGUAUCAAACAGGAUUAGAUACCCUGGUAGUCCACACAGUAAACGAUGUAUACUCGCGGUUUGCGAUAUAAUGUAAGCCGCCAAGCGAAAGCAUUAAGUAUACCACCUGGGGAGUACGCCGGCAACGGUGAAACUCAAAGGAAUUGACGGGGGCCCGCACAAGCGGAGGAACAUGUGGUUUAAUUCGAUGAUACGCGAGGAACCUUACCCGGGCUUGAAC